GGGCCCAUAGCUCAGCGGUUAGAGCAGUCCGCUCAUAACGGAUUUGUCGCUGGUUCGAUCCCAGCUGGGCCCA
rnacentral:tRNA from 1 species